GAAGUCAGCAUUCAAAAAUUUAAUUAUGCCUCAGGAGCUGCUGGGAAAAUUCAUAAUGAAGAACUUCUAAAGUAACUUUCAUCAGAUUCAAAACCUACCAUUCAUGGAUCUCAAAUAAAAAUGUUUGUUCAGGACAUUCAGUAAUGCCUUUUACUUGCUCUGUAAUAUAACAGCUGUCCACUCAUGUCAGAAGAGCUAAGGCGACUUGAAGUGAAAAUGGAAGUAGAGUCAUAGUUGCUCUCUAAAAAAGUGGACUAGACACUGGAAGGGAUUUGCAAGUUGAGAUAUGACUGUAAAGCUGGCAAGGCAGGAUCCUGGAAGCCUUGGGAACCUGGACAGCUGGAACUGAGACACCAGAGGCUGUCAUUUGUACUCUCUUAAAGAAAAUCAUCUGCGAGGGAAUUUCUGCACAGGCCCGGUAGCAACCGAGUAAUAUCUCAUCAACAGCGUUUCAAAGUAGGCCAUGUCUUAACAGCAGAAGGAUUGCAUGGUGUGUGACUCUUUGGGAAAAAUGGGAUUCUCUAUAAAAGGAUGUUUUCAAGACUUACUGGGUACAUUAAAACAGUCAGAUCACCCGAAGUUGUCAAUGCAUGUUUAAAGGAAGCCACUGAACCUUUUUGAUGUGAUCGUGUAUUUGCUAGUUCCCAAAGUGCAUUAUAUCACGUAACAAAAAACUUCAAGUGGAACAAGAAGUCAAAGCAGAGCAAGUAUUGCCUGCUCUGAUAAAGUAUCCUUGUCCUCCCGCUGUUGAAAAUUAUUUUCAGUGUAAGUCUUGCCUAACCAGUUCCAGAUCUUCCUAGCAACUAGAGAGACUAAUGGGUCCGACUGCAGACAUGCCGGGCUUGGGGGCAGUGUAUGCUCAGGUGAUACUAAAGCAGGGAUGGAAGCUGUUGAGAACACUCUGUAUGAGUGACUGCACAAGCUGAGGGGAGCGAAGAAGAAUAUGAGGAGAGCUAGAGGGCCUGUCCGAGCCCAAAACACUCACAAGGAUGUGUGCUUCACAAUUCGUUCUUCUCUUGGCUUUGGAGCAUCGACAUAUCAACUCUGAGUGGUCCUGUGUAACAGGAAAUCAUGCUGAAAUUGAGCCCAGGCCUGAAGUUCUUCGGACUUAUCAGCUGUUUGGAGAUAAACUGGUUGAAAACCUUGAAGGCUGUGUCCUAAGUUAUGCCUAUGGCAAGCUAUGGAAAUGAUGCUAGAGGAAGGAUGCUCAGGUACAUGCAAAGUGAAGGUCACGUAGACUUUGGUUCUCAAGGAGGCCUUAAAACACAAAUAAAUGAAUACAUUUGAUGGUCUUCA
rnacentral:lncRNA from 1 species